rnacentral:rRNA from 1 species
AUUGAACGCUGGCGGCAGGCCUAACACAUGCAAGUCGAGCGGAUGAAGGGAGCUUGCUCCUGGAUUCAGCGGCGGACGGGUGAGUAAUGCCUAGGAAUCUGCCUGGUAGUGGGGGAUAACGUCCGGAAACGGGCGCUAAUACCGCAUACGUCCUGAGGGAGAAAGUGGGGGAUCUUCGGACCUCACGCUAUCAGAUGAGCCUAGGUCGGAUUAGCUAGUUGGUGGGGUAAAGGCCUACCAAGGCGACGAUCCGUAACUGGUCUGAGAGGAUGAUCAGUCACACUGGAACUGAGACACGGUCCAGACUCCUACGGGAGGCAGCAGUGGGGAAUAUUGGACAAUGGGCGAAAGCCUGAUCCAGCCAUGCCGCGUGUGUGAAGAAGGUCUUCGGAUUGUAAAGCACGUUAAGUUGGGAGGAAGGGCAGUAAGUUAAUACCUUGCUGUUUUGACGUUUACCAACAGAAUAAGCACCGGCUAACUUCGUG